rnacentral:rRNA from 1 species
CCUACGGGUGGCAGCAGUGGGGAAUAUUGGACAAUGGGGGCAACCCUGAUCCAGCCAUGCCGCGUGUGUGAAGAAGGCCCUCGGGUUGUAAAGCACUUUCAGUGAGGAAGAACGCCUGGUGGUUAAUACCCAUCAGGAAAGACAUCACUCACAGAAGAAGCACCGGCUAACUCCGUGCAAGCAGCCGCGGUAAUACGGAGGGUGCGAGCGUUAAUCGGAAUUACUGGGCGUAAAGCGCGCGUAGGUGGCUUGAUAAGCCGGUUGUGAAAGCCCCGGGCUCAACCUGGGAACGGCAUCCGGAACUGUCAAGCUAGAGUGCAGGAGAGGAAGGUAGAAUUCCCGGUGUAGCGGUGAAAUGCGUAGAGAUCGGGAGGAAUACCAGUGGCGAAGGCGGCCUUCUGGACUGACACUGACACUGAGGUGCGAAAGCGUGGGUAGCAAACAGGAUUAGAUACCCGUGUAGUC